rnacentral:rRNA from 1 species
CAGCAGCCGCCGCGGUAAUACGUAGGUGGCAAGCGUUGUCCGGAAUUAUUGGGCGUAAAGGGCUCGCGGGCGGUUUCUUAAGUCUGAUGUGAAAGCCCCCGGCUCAACCGGGGAGGGUCAUUGGAAACUGGGAAACUUGAGUGCAGAAGAGGAGAGUGGAAUUCCACGUGUAGCGGUGAAAUGCGUAGAGAUGUGGAGGAACACCAGUGGCGAAGGCGACCCUCUGGUCUGUAACUGACGCUGAGGAGCGAAAGCGUGGGGAGCGAACAGGAUUAGAUACCCCGGUAGUCCCUGUCUCUUAUAC